GCCGACUUAGCUCAGCUGGUAGAGCACCCGCCUUGUAAGCGGACGGUCGUCAGUUCAAGUCUGACAGUCGGCU
rnacentral:tRNA from 1 species